ensembl:misc_RNA Metazoa_SRP Metazoan signal recognition particle RNA
GCUGGGCAUGGUGGCUCAUGCCUGUAAUCCCAGCUACUCGGGAGGCUAAGGCAGGAGAAUCACUUGAACCUGGGAGUCGGAGAUUGCAGUGAGCCAAGAUCGCGCCAUUGUACUCCACCCUGGGCAACAGAGUGAGACUCUGUUUUUU